AGCCUCCUUUUACAGACUGGAAGACAGAUAAUCUUGAGGUGAAACCAUGAGGAUGCUUUCUGUGGCCUCCUAUUAAUAUCCCAAGGCCAGAGGCUUGGAGCAGCAGGAUGUCUGUUCUCCAGCUGUUUUUCCAACAGGAAGAGGGGAUCAAAUAAACAAUGCACACACAGUA